rnacentral:rRNA from 1 species
UACAGAGGUCUCAAGCGUUGUUCGGAUUCAUUGGGCGUAAAGAGCGUGUAGGCGGCCCGAUAAGUCCGCUGUGAAAGUCCAGGGCUCAACCCUGGAAUGCCGGUGGAAACUGUCAGGCUCGAGUCCGGAAGAGGCGAGUGGAAUUCCUGGUGUAGCGGUGAAAUGCGCAGAUAUCAGGAGGAACACCAAUGGCGAAGGCAGCUCGCUGGGACGGUACUGACGCUGAGACGCGAAAGCGUGGGGAGCAAACAGG